rnacentral:rRNA from 1 species
GACGUAGGGCGCAAGCGUUGUCCGGAAUUACUGGGCGUAAAGAGCUCGUAGGCGGUUUGUCGCGUCUGCCGUGAAAGUCCGGGGCUCAACUCCGGAUCUGCGGUGGGUACGGGCAGACUAGAGUGAUGUAGGGGAGACUGGAAUUCCUGGUGUAGCGGUGAAAUGCGCAGAUAUCAGGAGGAACACCGAUGGCGAAGGCAGGUCUCUGGGCAUUAACUGACGCUGAGGAGCGAAAGCAUGGGGAGCGAACAGG